rnacentral:rRNA from 1 species
AUGGCGCCGAUUCACAGCUCACGCCGCCUCGACGGCACACUGCUUGCACUUCUGCUCGUGCUCGUGGCCGCCACCGCCUUUGUCAGCGCUGCCGCGGCGCGAGGGGACGCGCUGGCCGCCCGGCAUGAGCGGUGGAUGGCCAAGUACGGGCGCGUGUACACGGACGCUGCCGAGAAAUUGCGCCGGCAGGAGGUGUUCGCGGCCAACGCGCGGCACAUAGAUGCUGUCAACAGGGCAGGCAAUCGGACGUACACUCUCGGGCUCAACCAGUUCUCCGACCUCACCAACGAAGAGUUCGUGGAGAAGCAGCUCGGGUACCGUCACCGGCGCGGCGAGGAAAGCACGCCGGUGGCCGCUGUGAACAUGUCCAUGGCUCAGUUCCAGUCCACGCCGGACAGCGUGGAUUGGAGGGCCCAGGGCGCCGUCACCCAAAUCAAGGACCAAGGCGCCAACUGCGGUUGCUGCUGGGCGUUCGCGGCGGUGGCGGCGACGGAGGGGCUCGUAAAGAUCGCCACCGGCAACCUCAUCUCCAUGUCAGAGCAGCAGGUGCUCGACUGCACCGGCGGCCCCAGCACCUGCCAGAGCGGCUACAUCAACGACGCCUUAAGCUACAUCGCCAAGAGCGGCGGCCUGCAGCAGGAGGCAGCCUACGCGUAUAUCGGCCAGCAGGGCGCGUGCCGCGGCGGCGACGUCAGCCCAAAUUCAGCCGCCGCCGUCGGCGCACCCCAGUUGGUGAGCCUGAACGGCGACGAGGGCGCGUUGCAGGAGCUCGUGGCCAGCCAACCGGUGGCCGUGAGCGUGGAGGCCGACCUUGACUUCCACCACUACAUGAGCGGCGUGUACACCGGCAGCUCGUCGUGCGGGCAGAACCUGAACCACUUCGUGACGGUGGUGGGCUACGGGACGGACGGCGGCGGGCAGGAGUAUUGGUUGGUGAAGAACCAGUGGGGGACGACGUGGGGCGAGGGGGGCUACAUGCGCCUCACCCGCGGGAACGGCGGCAACUGCGGCAUGGCCACCUACGCCUACUACCCGACCAUGGACAACUCUUAA